rnacentral:tRNA from 1 species
AGGGUUAUAGUUAAUUAUAACGUUUGAAUUGCAAUCAAAAAGUACUUUUCAAAGUUAAUCUUU